UACGUAGGGUGCGAGCGUUAAUCGGAAUUACUGGGCGUAAAGCGUGCGCAGGCGGUUCGUUAAGUCAGAUGUGAAAGCCCCGGGCUCAACCUGGGAACUGCAUUUGAAACUGGCGGGCUUGAGUGUGGCAGAGGGGGGUGGAAUUCCGCGUGUAGCAGUGAAAUGCGUAGAGAUGCGGAGGAACACCGAUGGCGAAGGCAGCCCCCUGGGCCAACACUGACGCUCAGGCACGAAAGCCAGGGGAGCGAACGGG
rnacentral:rRNA from 1 species